rnacentral:rRNA from 1 species
AAUAGAUACCCAGGUAGUCCACGCCGUAAACGAUGAGUGCUAAGUGUUAGAGGGUUUCCGCCCUUUAGUGCUGCAGCUAACGCAUUAAGCACUCCGCCUGGGGAGUACGGUCGCAAGACUGAAACUCAAAGGAAUUGACGGGGGCCCGCACAAGCGGUGGAGCAUGUGGUUUAAUUCGAAGCAACGCGAAGAACCUUACCAGGUCCUGACAUCCCACUGACCGGUAUAGAGAUAUACCUUUCCCUUCGGGGACAGUGGUGACAGGUGGUGCAUGGUUGUCGUCAGCUCGUGUCGUGAGAUGUUGGGUUAAGUCCCGCAACGAGCGCAACCCUUGAUCUUAGUUGCCAGCAUUUAGUUGGGCACUCUAAGGUGACUGCCGGUGACAAACCGGAGGAAGGUGGGGAUGACGUCAAAUCAUCAUGCCCCUUAUGACCUGGGCUACACACGUGCUACAAUGGAUGGUACAAAGGGCUGCAAGACUGCGAAGUCAAGCCAAUCCCAUAAAACCAUUCUCAGUUCGGAUUGCAGG